CUGCGGGGACGCUCACUGCACCCUGUGGUUGGGCCCUUCCUCCCGGCACCCCGCCCUCCCCGGGGGGCACCCGCCCUCAACCAGUUUGGCAGGGCAGGCCGGGUCUGGAGAUGGGCGGGGAGCCCUGAGCCUCCGCGCCUUCCUGGGCGCCUCCUCCCGCCCCCAGCCGCCCGCCCCGCGCCCGCCGGACACUCAGGCCUCGCCGGGCGCUCGAGGCCGGGGAGUCGGCGUCCCCGGGGGUGACCCCCCCCCCCCAAGAAGGGUGCGCAGCCCCGGUACGCCCGACGGCCGUCCGGGCGGGGAGCCCUCCCCGGGGCGGGGCCAUGCCGCCUCGUGCCCGCUGAGGCCCCCACCAUGGCCCGCUCGCUGACCUGGUGCUGCUGCCCCUGCUGCCUGACCGAGGAUGAGAAGGCGGCGGCCCGGAUCGACCAGGACAUCAACAGGAUCCUGCUGGAGCAGAAGAAGAGGGACCGCGGGGAGCUGAAGCUGCUGCUUCUAGGCCCCGGCGAGAGCGGGAAGAGCACGUUCAUCAAGCAGAUGCGCAUCAUCCACGGGGCGGGCUACUCGGAGGAGGAGCGCAAGGGCUUCCGGCCCCUCAUCUACCAGAACAUCUUCGUGUCCAUGCAGGCCAUGAUCGAGGCCAUGGACUGGCUGCAGAUUCCGUUCAGCAGGCCCGAGAGCAGGCACCACGCCAGUCUGGUCAUGAGCCAGGACCCCUACAAAGUGACCACUUUCGAGAAGCGCUGCGCCGUGGCCAUGCAGUGGCUGUGGAGGGACGCCGGCAUCCGGGCCUGUUACGAGCGUCGCCGGGAGUUUCACCUGCUGGACUCGGCCGUGUACUACCUGUCCCACCUGGAGCGCAUCACUGAGGAGGACUACAUCCCCACGGCACAGGACGUGCUCCGGAGCCGCAUGCCCACCACCGGCAUCAAUGAAUACUGCUUCUCCGUGCAGAAGACCAACCUGCGGAUCGUGGACGUCGGGGGCCAGAGGUCGGAACGGAAGAAGUGGAUCCACUGCUUUGAGAACGUGAUCGCCCUCAUCUACCUGGCCUCGCUCAGCGAGUAUGACCAGUGUCUGGAAGAGAACAACCAAGAGAACCGAAUGAAGGAGAGCCUGGCCCUGUUCGGCACUAUCCUGGAACUGCCCUGGUUCAAAAGCACGUCCGUCAUCCUCUUCCUCAACAAAACUGACAUCCUGGAGGAGAAGAUCUCCACCUCCCACUUGGCUACCUACUUCCCCAGUUUCCAGGGCCCGAAGCAGGACGUGGAGGCAGCCAAGAAGUUCAUCCUGGACAUGUACACUAGAAUGUACGCCAGCUGCGUGGACAGCGCCGACGAGGGCAGGAAGGGUCCGCGCUCCCGGCGACUCUUCAGCCACUACACGUGCGCCACGGACACGCAGAACAUCCGCAAGGUCUUCAAGGACGUGCGGGACUCGGUCCUGGCCCGCUACCUGGACGAGAUCAACCUGCUGUGAGCCAGGCCCCGCUGCCCCCGGGCUCAGACCCGCGCGUGGCAGGCGGGACCUGCGGGCGGACCGGUUCUCAGGGAGCCCAGAUGCCGCUUGUCGCUCGGCCCCAGGUCCAGGUGGCCGAAGGGCUGUGAGAGCCCCCACCCACCUCGGAUGAAGGUGAAGGUUCAGACGUCGAUGGCUCCACUUACCCGGGACCGCGGUCUCCCGCCACCCUCAGGGCCCGGCGGGUCACAAGCCAGCCCACCUCUGCUUUCCGGUGAGGAAACCGAGGCACAGAGACACGGAAUCAUCUGACGAAGGCUCCAGCCUGCGAGACGGCAGAGCCGAGAAACGGAUUCAUCCAACGCUUUUUGCCUUUUACUUUCAAACCUAUAAACUUUAUGUCUCGGAAUAGUCCCAUUUACAGAACAAUUGUGCAGCUAAGUACAGAGUUGCCUUACGAAAGCACACUCAGUGUCCCCUACUGUUCACAUCUUACGUUAAUAUGGUGCUUUAAAAUUUUUCUAAUUUUUAGUUUUAUUUUAGAGAGGGGGGAGGGGAGAGGGGCAGAGGGAGAGAGAAUCUUACCCACGCUCCACACUGUUGGUGGAGCCCCAUGCGGGGCUCAAUCUCACGACCCUGAGAUCCCGAGCUGAGCUGAAAUCAAGAGUCGGGCGCUCAGCCGACUGAGUUGCCCAUGUUUGUUUGGUAAUUUUGAAGAACUUCUUGGUUUUAUUCAGAGAUUCGUGAAUCGGGGAGCAUCGCAUCUGACAGACAGAUAGAAGCCCCUGGCUCGAUUUUCAUGAGCUUGGCAGUUUUCAAGCACGCUGGGCAGGGAUUGCCUUGGUUUCCCGGGACCACAAAAUAAAGUGCCACACACUUUGUGACUUCA